rnacentral:rRNA from 1 species
GACGAACGCUGGCGGCGUGCCUAAUACAUGCAAGUAGAACGCUGAAGAGAGGAGCUUGCUCUUCUUGGAUGAGUUGCGAACGGGUGAGUAACGCGUAGGUAACCUGCCUUGUAGCGGGGGAUAACUAUUGGAAACGAUAGCUAAUACCGCAUAACAAUGGAUGACACAUGUCAUUUAUUUGAAAGGGGCAAUUGCUCCACUACAAGAUGGACCUGCGUUGUAUUAGCUAGUAGGUGAGGUAACGGCUCACCUAGGCGACGAUACAUAGCCGACCUGAGAGGGUGAUCGGCCACACUGGGACUGAGACACGGCCCAGACUCCUACGGGAGGCAGCAGUAGGGAAUCUUCGGCAAUGGGGGCAACCCUGACCGAGCAACGCCGCGUGAGUGAAGAAGGUUUUCGGAUCGUAAAGCUCUGUUGUAAGUCAAGAACGAGUGUGAGAGUGGAAAGUUCACACUGUGACGGUAGCUUACCAGAAAGGGACAGCUAA